ACCUAUUCAUCUGCUCUCCCGAACACAAGUUCAAGAUCAUCACAGGAUCCAAACACAACAACACAGGGAGUGAGUUAUCACAUUCCUAACUAAUAGAGAAACAAGACAAUUAAAUAUACAUAUUAUAUAAAUGAGAUACCACUUGCUUAAACAUAGCUCACGUAACUUCACCACUUCGUCAUUCAAAAUUCACUUUUCAAUUAUCAAUCACAUUACACAAGAAUCCCACACUUCGAUCAAGAUAUAAUAACACAUCAAUUAGCAAGCAUAUGCAAUAGUUAUGCUAAGACUCAAUUCUAUAUGCAAUGUGGUACCAUGUCAGUGAAAAACCACCCUGGGGCGCUUAGGAGUACAUAACAAGACACACCACACAAUGGGUUUGUCAGGUCACUCUCACUAAGUAAGAUCAUAGGGAGACCAGUCAGGGUCACGAUGUUUUGCGAGAAUGCUCCAACCAUAUGAGAUCAGCAUAGGCUUAAAGGAGCACUCAAACCCGGUGACCCCCAAGGCCUACACUCCGAAGAGUCCGUCAGGGCCUCUCCCUCCUGAUUCAGGUCCAACCCCUAAAAUAAUUUUUUUUACAUGCAGACACUGCUCAUGAAUUAUACAAUACUCACGACCUUACACUCGUGUUUUAAACACGUUCAACACAAUUGCGCUACGAUUUAACACUGGUUCCUAAAUAGGAAACCUACAUUUUCUCUUUAACACUGCGCAUCAACGCUUUUCUCAAGAUAACGCUGGUCGGGUAUUGUACAAUUCAUGGCUUACAACACAAGUAAUUUCACAUCAAGUGUUAACUACACACUUAUCCACAACUAUAACUCAUUCACAAUUUCACAUCUCAUAGUGUCACAAUCCACCAUCACAUGUUUACACGUAUCUCACAAAUUAACACAUGUUCAACUUUACACUUAUACUCAAUCUCAAUAACAAUAUUAUAAUCUCAAAGCAACAUGUUAUUCUACAAUUCAUCACAUACUCACAAUUUGAAUUAUCAUUUCAUAUCCUCAAUAUAACAAUUUAUAUAAAAGACUAUCACAACAUGAGGACUAAAACCCCUCAAAUAAUAUUACACAAUUAUAUCUAAAUCAUAGGUCCAAAUAUACAAAUAUCAAGAGCACAAUUUAUCAAGCAAUUUUCAUCAGGACAUCAAUAUUUUAUUCAUAAAGGAAAAAUUGCAAUUUAACAAACAUCCCAAAAUAAAAUCCCAAUUUAAUCCUCUAAGGAUCCCUACACAUGUUCUCACUAAUCCCCAACUGUGAAUAACUCAUCCCUUACCUCUAAGCGGGCUCACGUGUCUUCAGCCAGCGAUAGCAACAUCUCUAGCGGUUCCCGGAAAUUCUUUCAAUUAUUCAUCCGACUGCUCCGAUAGAAUUCCCAAACGUCAGAGAGACGGAGAAGAGAUUGAAACCUCCACUUGUACUGUCUUCAUACGAUUCCUUUUUCUCCCUCCACGAAUAUUAUCUCGCAAAUCCCAACGGUGGAAGCGUGCGGAAUUGAAUUUCGAACAACAUAUCCAAAUUUCACAAUAAUCCAACGGUUAACGAAACCGGGAUCGUAGUUUUACCAAGACAGCUCUGGGUUUCUGCGGGAAAGAAAAAGGCUACAAUGCGAAGGGUUUUUCUCUCAGUUCAGACAUGAUAUCGAAAUUCCCAACGGUGAGAAUGCUCGAAAUUGUGUUGCGAACAUGAUACUCAAAUUUCACGACGAUCCAACGGUGAACGGUUUCGAGAUCGUCGUUUUUCUGAGACUGGUUUGGUGGGCUGCGGGAAAAAGAAAGAGUUUUGAGAGAAGGGGAAAAACGAAA
rnacentral:lncRNA from 1 species